AGAGUUUGAUCCUGGCUCAGAACGAACGCUGGCGGCGUGGAUAAGACAUGCAAGUCGAGCGCUGAUUUGAGGGUAGCAAUAUUUUCAAGUCGGAGCGGCGCAAGGGUGCGUAACACGUGGGGAUCUGCUUUGAAGUGUGGGAUAACUCGUCGAAAGACGAGCUAAUACCGCAUGUGAUCGUGAGAUCAAAGUUGGGGAUCGCAAGACCUGACGCUUCAAGAUGAGCCCGCGGCCUAUCAGCUAGUUGGCGAGGUAAAAGCUCACCAAGGCUAAGACGGGUAGCUGGUCUGAGAGGACGACUAGCCACACUGGAACUGAGACACGGUCCAGACACCUACGGGUGGCAGCAGUCGAGAAUUUUUCUCAAUGGGCGAAAGCCUGAAGGAGCGACGCCGCGUGGGGGAUGAAUGGCUUCGGCCCGUAAACCCCUGUCAUUUGCGAACAAAUUGACUCACCUAACAUGUGUGUCAUUGAUUGUAGCGGGAGAGGUAGGGAUGGCUAACUCUGUGCCAGCAGCCGCGGUAAUACAGAGGUCCCAAGCGUUGUUCGGAUUCACUGGGCGUAAAGGGUGCGUAGGCGGUUGGGUAAGUCUGACGUGAAAUUUCCGGGCCUAACCCGGAAACUGCGUUGGAUACUAUCCGGCUAGAGGAAUGGAGGGGAGACUGGAAUACUUGGUGUAGCAGUGAAAUGCGUAGAUAUCAAGUGGAACACCAGUGGCGAAGGCGAGUCUCUGGACAUUUCCUGACGCUGAGGCACGAAAGCCAGGGGAGCAAACGGGAUUAGAUACCCCGGUAGUCCUGGCCCUAAACGGUGCACGUUUGCUGUAAGC
rnacentral:rRNA from 1 species